CUCUGACGGUUAUUUUAAUUUUAAAUAAAAAAUAAAUAAAAAUCACAGGAGCGAUAUUAUUCAAAAGCAACCGCGGCGGUCGGUCGUGCUGGUCGACAGGCACAUUUUGGUACGGGUGGAAUAAUGCUGCGGCUGCGUUUGAUUUUCUAUUUAUUUUUUGUGUGUGACGGCGGUGUGCUUGGAGCUGAGGAGCGGAGCGGGUUGGCGCCACUUUCAAAUCCUCCACUGACACAGAAUGAUCCCGGCUUCAAAUACAUGUACACACCACUUCAUUUCUACUUUUAAUUAUUACUGUAAAACAAGGAAUAUCCUAACACUUUUUCUCUCUUGGACAAUGUUUUUCUGCGGAAGUGUUUAAUGUGCAACCCUCUGCAGGCCUGCAGACAGACAGAAAAUGGGAGAGAAAGAGGGGGGAUGACAUGCAGCAAAGGGCCACAGAAUAGAAUCAAACCCAGGCUGCUGCAGAAAGGACUCAGCCUUAGCACAAGGUGUGUGAGCUCUAGCAGGUGAGCUACCAGGGCGCCCCUCAUAUAGAAUUAUUAAGAUGAAAAGUUCCUGACUGACCUCCUGUUAUUAUGAAAAAUAAUUUAAUAAUCCCAGAUCUUUCACAUUUAAAGAACAUUUAGUAGAGCUGCACAAUGAAUCAAAAUAUUAUAGAAAUCGCAAUAUGGCCAUGUGCAUAUUGCACAAAAUUGGACUUUGUUUGAUAAAGGUAAAAUGUGACAAACAGCAUUAUAAUGGUACUGUAGUUCUGCAGAGAUGCCCUGGUCUACAAAUCUUGUUCUCCAGAUUAAAAUCAGUUUGGUACAGACCCCAACAAAUGUCACAUCAUGAUUUCAAUGGUUUAUUCAGUGAAAAUUCAAUUUAUGAUGAAAAAAUUCUCACACUAAUCAUAAAUCAUAUUGUUCUUGUCAAAAUAAUUGCAAUCUUAUGUUUUUACCAUAUCAUACAGCCUUAACUUUUAGUGCAAAAAAUAAUACAACAUAAACAGCCAUUUAUAUUAUAACCUUAACUCGGGCCAUCUUUGGCCCAUAGGCCGCACUUUAGGCCACCCUGCACUAGACUUUUGGAAAUAAACAGAAUUAAGUCACAUCAGAUUGGAACUGAUGUAAGAAUAUUGUAAUAAACACAAUUGUUAAAAAAAAAAAAAAGGCUCUCUCAAGUAAUCUUUUCAAUGUCAGGUCCUCAAUAAUUAAGAAAAAGCUGCUGGUGAGUUUUUUCACUAAUGGAGCUGUUUCUAAAAUGAUCAGAUUUUUAUUUUAUGUAUAUUUUUCAUGUAUCACUCUUCCUGUCCAUUCCCUCAGUGGGCAGACUGAGGCAGAUCAUUGUACUAGUCUCAAGUCACUUGAAUUUUUGUGAGAAGCUGAUGUGUGUUGUUAACUAGUCAAAUUAUCUCACCAUUGGCUGAUUUAAAAAACAUGUAUUUUAUAAAAAAUAUCUCCCUGUACCGUUACAUCAGUCUUGCACUUGUUCCUGUCUGUGCUCUUUAUUUUUGUGAAGACUACCCUGUGGUGUAGUGAUAUUUUAAAUGUUAAAUUUGGUGGUACUCUGUUUAACUUUUUUGUCAGUGUUAAUAAGAGUAUCUUCAGAAAAGUAACACCGUUGUAAUAUGUAAUGGAGGCAGGUUAGUAAUACACCUACUAAGCACCACUAAGUGAGGAACAAAGACAAAAGGAGAGAAAGUGAGAAUCCAACAGAUUUUAUUUGUUUUUUCUGCAAUUCAAUCAAUCAAACUUUACUUGUAUACCACCGUUUAUACAGUUUAGUGCAGUUCAAAGGGCUUCACAGAUAACUGACAUGAUGAUAACAAGACAGAAUGGAAUAAAAACUGAAUUGGUAAAUUUAAAAAUAGAAAACAAUCAUAGAAAUAACAAUAAAAUACAAUAAACAGCUAUACUUAAAGCAGAUAAGCAGUGUUUCUCAUCCUCUUUUUUACUUCUUCCUCUUCCUCCAUUUUGUCCCCUUCAACCAUUUUGUUUCCUUCACAGAACAUUCAAAACAACUUUGUGUCAAUCUCCUUGAGAGUAAUUUGAUUAAGACUGUUACACUUUGGGCUAAAAGCAGACCCUUUUUUUGAAGCAAUGUGCAACUAUUAUGCUUGUAUUAUACAUUUAUAGUUAGACAUUACAGCAUGUUUUAUGUCAAUUAAACAGAUUAGUAUUUUCCUAAGUUAAGAUGGGAAAUAAAAGAAAGGAACAAAAACCAUGAGAUGAAUCUUUCCUGUUACCCCAGAGCGUUUGCGUCUGAGGCAGUAAAUCUGAUGGACUCAUGGUCUCGGUGUGUCCGGGGUGCGCUCUAGCAGCACAUCAUGUUUUGCAGAUAUGUGCUGAAUCACUCCAAAUCAUUAUGUGCUGCCACCGUGAGCCCUGGAAUUUCCAGAAACACUGGGACCAGCUCCCAGUCAGACUUCACACAUCUUCCCCCGCAGGAACUUCUUAAAGGUCAGAGGUGAUGUGUGUGUGUGUGUGUGUGUGUGUGUGUGUGUGUGUGUGUGUGUGUGUGUGUGUGUGUGUCCGUGUGUGUGUGUGUCCGUGUGUGUGUGUGUCCGUGUGUGUGUGUGUGUGUGUGUGUGUGUGUGUGUGUGUGUGUGUGUGUGUGCGUGCGUGGGUUUUGUGUGUGUGUGUGUGUGUGGGUUUUGUGUGUCCUUGGACACGUCACUUCAGUGUUCAGGCUUGGGUGUGGAACAUCAGGACUCUUUAUAUCAUCCACAUUCUCUGUGACAAGGUGGGUUUAUUUAGUUCUUCUCAGUAAAAAUGAAUACACUGUUGAACUUUUGUGUUUUAUUGUUAGUCUAUGCUAGUGGUUCUGACAUAUUUUAUAGAUAUUUCAUAUUUUAUAUAUAUAAAUAUAUAUAUAUAUGUAUGUAUGUAUAUGUAUGUAUUAAUAAUUUUUGUCAUAUAUACUAGGCUUCUUUUCUGACAAAUUCAGUGCUUUCCUGUCCCUAAAGUUUGUGUAAAAUGAGUAAUUUGGAGGACUUUUUGAGCAGAUUAUUUCCUGUAAAUAUUAAGAUGUUACUUUAUUAAUCUAGCACAGCAGCAGAGGGGAAUGUGGUGCAAAGAGUAAGAAAAUAGAAUAGAAUAAAAUAGAUUAGAAACCAACUAAUACACUAUUUACAAUAAAACAGAAUAGAAUAUCAUACUAACUGAAUCAGAGACAAGUUUUCCUGAUAUUUCUAGGAACUUUUAUAUUAUUAUACAAUUUGGCCUGUAUUAUGUUUUUUUAUUUUUAACACAUAAUUUGCUUAUUUUUUGACAAAUUCAUUGUUUCCUUCUCACAGAUCUUUAUGAGUUAUUUUAACUGCAUAUU